UACGGGGGGGGCAAGCGUUGUUCGGAAUUACUGGGCGUAAAGGCUCGUAGGCGGCCAACUAAGUCAGACGUGAAAUCCCUCGGCGUUAACCGGGAACUGCGUCUGAUACUGGAUGGCUUGAGAUUGGGAGAGGAUGCGGAAUUCCAGGUGUAGCGGUGAAAUGCGUAGAUAGUCUGGAGGAACACCGGUGGCGAAGGCGGCAUCCUGGACCAACACUGACGCUGAGGAGCGAAAGCCAGGGAGCAAACGG
rnacentral:rRNA from 1 species